rnacentral:lncRNA from 1 species
GGCUAGUCUCCAGGAAGGAGAUUCAGGAAGCCUUGCUAGGGAGGCAAGAAGAAUUUGUAUUUCCAGACUUUCAUUCCAGCAACUUAAUGAGUCAACAGACAACAGUAUGUGGCUGUUCCUCAGGGACUGCCGGGUCAUCCUGGCUACCUAAUUUUGAUCAUGAAACAGGUCUAACUCUCAUUGUUUAAAAUUGGUUCCCCACAUAGCCCCUUGCAUUUCUGUCUUGCUUGCCUCCUUUCAGAAGUCACCUGUUAGCCCUGGCAGUGGGGCAGUAUGGGAAGUGCUAUGUCUCUCCUCUGCCCUAAUAACCAACUAGAAGCUCAUUAUCGGGAGGUGGGUCUCAGCUUUGGGGGUAGGUCAUAAUAGCACAUCAUUAUCUCCUGGUGUCUGAGGGGUUGAGGAGGUGGAUAACAAGACAGAAAUCUAAAUAAUAUUUUAGUUCCUGGGGUCUUAAAGUUCAUCCUUGACAAGUGUUUAUCCCUCAGAAGGCUGCUCAAGGGAGGACAGUGGACUCUGCAGUCACCUCGCCAAAUACAUCUUCUUCUGUGAGCUGAGUAACAACUGGAUUGGCUGAGUCACUUAAUGAGAGAUUCUCAUCUAAGCCUCCCUGAGAUGAUAUUCAGCUUUAAGCUACCCAUCCAGAGUCUCACUGCAGCACCAUUUUUCUCAUCAGGGAGGUACUGAAAUCUGAACUUAGAGGUGACUCCAAUGAUCUUGUCAAGACUCCAAUGACUUGCUGUGGAAAAGUGAAAUAAUAUGAUAAGUCUGUGUUGACCUAAGCCAGCCUCCCUCCUAGAACUUAGAAGUUUGUCUGGUGCUCACUUGGACUCUGGAAAGGCACUGUGUCUUGAUUGACAGAGAGGAGAAAAUAUCUGCUUCUACUCUGGAGCCAUCUUCCUAAUGGCUGCUAAAAGGAAGCCUGGUCUUCAACUACUGUAUGUAUGGGAAGCAUAUCUUCAGCAGUUCCUAUGCUGUUCUCAUACCAAGAUGGGAAAACUGAGUUCCAAAGAUAUUCAGUGCCCUCCCCAAGGUCACACAAGUAACAAAUGGCAUGAUUAGGAUUUAAAUUCUACAGCUCAACCUCCAAAACCAGCACCUUUUCCUCCACAUUGAACUUCAACAUAUUGCUUCAAGUCUUUCAUUUUUCCUCAGGGAGCUGGGCUUUGCAAUGUUUUUCUAUGUUUCUACUGCCAAUAAAAAUGCAUGUUUUAAACA